UUUGGGCCACAGGUGGGUCUCCGCCGGGGUUGGGGGCUGCUCUGAGGCCUGCCUCUUCCCAG
rnacentral:miRNA from 1 species